ensembl:lncRNA
GCCUAGGGUCCUCCCCUCCUCUUUGGGUCUGUUUUCAUCCGUUGUUGCAGCUGCCUGCAUCUUCCUUACUUUGCUCCACGGCCUUCUGCAGCUCUGCUGUUCGGCUCUUCUCAGAGUGAUUUACCAGGAACAUCUUUUCCUUUUCUCCAUGUCUUCCGCCAGAGGUUAACACUGGUGAGAUUCAGGGACACAGCACCCAGAGCAGGAGAAUUUGGGCCAGCUGGGUUUCUGCCUCUGUUAGGCACUAAUCAGCUGGGGCGCUGCUUUAAAGGUGAGUCAGCACUGAAAUAUCCCUUCAGGUGUUACCAAGCUUCUACCAAACCGGAGUCUGGCGGGUAACCUUGCCUAGAGCUUCCUGAUAGGGGUGCUAGUUGGUUGUCACCUUGUUCACAC